GACGAACGCUGGCGGCGUGCCUAAUACAUGCAAGUAGAACGCUGAAGGAAGGAGCUUGCUCUUUCUGGAUGAGUUGCGAACGGGUGAGUAACGCGUAGGUAACCUGCCUGGUAGCGGGGGAUAACUAUUGGAAACGAUAGCUAAUACCGCAUAAAAUGGAUUAUCGCAUGAUAAUUCAUUGAAAGGUGCAAAUGCAUCACUACCAGAUGGACCUGCGUUGUAUUAGCUAGUUGGUGGGGUAACGGCUCACCAAGGCGACGAUACAUAGCCGACCUGAGAGGGUGAUCGGCCACACUGGGACUGAGACACGGCCCAGACUCCUACGGGGGGCAGCAGUAGGGAAUCUUCGGCAAUGGACGGAAGUCUGACCGAGCAACGCCGCGUGAGUGAAGAAGGUUUUCGGAUCGUAAAGCUCUGUUGUAAGAGAAGAACGAGUGUGAGAGUGGAAAGUUCACAC
rnacentral:rRNA from 1 species